rnacentral:lncRNA from 1 species
GUGAGUGGCUGAGCUGGGCUUCUGGCCAGAACUCAAAGGCCACAUUCCUAGUUAUAGAUGUUCCUUUCACCUUGCUGAAGUUGGGGAGAGCUGCAUCAGACCACCUCUCAGGGUUUCCUAAUGCAAAUCCUUGAACCCUGCAGAAGGGCAGCAGGUGGAGAGUUGUCCUGGAAGGAUUUGAGGAGCUGCACGGAGUCAGACCCAGCCCCUGGCCCCCUGAUUGUCACCUUUCUCAGGAUCUGGGAUGCUAAUUCAGAAACUCUUGACUGCCGGAGGCUGUGAUUGACCCACUGAGAGCUUUUAGGCAUGUGGAUGUGAGUCAGCCAGGAUUGAUGGAGCAUUGACUGCUAAU